GGAGAGGUGCCGGAGUGGUUGAACGGGGCGGUCUCGAAAACCGUUGUGAGUGUGAGCUCACCGAGGGUUCAAAUCCCUCUCUCUCCG
rnacentral:tRNA from 1 species